rnacentral:rRNA from 1 species
CUGACCGUGCAAAGGUAGCAUAAUCAUUUGCCUUAUAAUUGAAGGCUAGUAUGAAUGGUUUGACAUGAAUGUAGCUGUCUCUUUAUAAUUUAAUAGAAUUUUAUCUUUAGGUGAAGAAGCCUGAAUUCAAUUAAAAGACAAGAAGACCCUAUCGAGCUUGAAAAAAUUGAUGGAAUUAAAGUCAAUAUAGUUAAAAGAUUAUCUAUCACAUAUUUUAGUUGGGGCGACUAAGGAACAUAAAAAGCUUCCUUUAAAAUAUUAGUUUAAGUCAAACUAGAAUUGAUCCAAAAUAUUUUGAUUAAAGGAAUUAGUUACCGUAGGGAUAACAGCAUUAUCUUUUUUAAGAGCUCAUAUCGAAAAAAAGGUUUGUGACCUCGAUGUUGGACCAGAAUAUCCUAAAGGUGCAGCAGCC